rnacentral:rRNA from 1 species
GAUGAACGCUGGCGGCGUGCCUAAUACAUGCAAGUCGAGCGAACAGACGAGGAGCUUGCUCCUCUGACGUUAGCGUCGGACGGGUGAGUAACACGUGGAUUACCUACCUAUAAGACUGGGAUAACUUCGGGAAACCGGAGCGAAUACCGGAUAAUAUAUUGAACCGCAUGGUUCAAUAGUGAAAGACGGUUUUGCUGUCACUUAUAGAUGGAUCCGCGCCGCAUUAGCUAGUUGGUAAGGUAACGGCUUACCAAGGCAACGAUGCGUAGCCGACCUGAGAGGGUGAUUGGCCACACUGGAACUGAGACACGGUCCAGACUCCUACGGGAGGCAGCAGUAGGGAAUCUUCCGCAAUGGGCGAAAGCCUGACGGAGCAACGCCGCGUGAGUGAUGAAGGUCUUCGGAUCGUAAAACUCUGUUAUUCGGGAAGAACAAAUGUGUAAGUAACUAUGCACGUCUUGACGGUACCUAAUCAGAAAGCCACGGCUAACUACGUG